UGAUAUAAUACUACAUUUUUAUCCGCCAGGGAAUUACGAGCACUAGCUUAAAACCCAAAGGACUUGGCGGUGCUUCAAACCCACCUAGAGGAGCCUGUUCUAGAACCGAUAAUCCCCGUUAAACCUCACCCCUCCUUGUUUUAUCCGCUUGUAUACCGCCGUCGUCAGUUCACCUUUUAAAAGAAUAAUAGUAAGCAAAAUUGGUAUAACCUAAAACGUCAGGUCAAGGUGUAGCAUAUGGAAGGGAAAGAAAUGGGCUACAUUCACUCACUGAUGAACACGAAUUAAUUAUUGAAAAAUAAUUAUGAAGGAGGAUUUAGCAGUAAGAAGAAAAUAGAGAGUUC
rnacentral:rRNA from 1 species